UAGGGAAUCUUCGGCAAUGGACGAAAGUCUGACCGAGCAACGCCGCGUGAGUGAAGAAGGUCUUCGGAUCGUAAAACUCUGUUGUUAGAGAAGAACAAGGACGUUAGUAACUGAACGUCCCCUGACGGUAUCUAACCAGAAAGCCACGGCUAACUACGUGCCAGCAGCCGCGGUAAUACGUAGGUGGCAAGCGUUGUCCGGAUUUAUUGGGCGUAAAGCGAGCGCAGGCGGUUUCUUAAGUCUGAUGUGAAAGCCCCCGGCCCAACCGGGGAGGGUCAUUGGAAACUGGGAGACUUGAGUGCAGAAGAGGAGAGUGGAAUUCCAUGUGUAGCGGUGAAAUGCGUAGAUAUAUGGAGGAACACCAGUGGCGAAGGCGGCUCUCUGGGCUGUAACUGACGCUGAGGCACGAAAGCGUGGGGAGCAAACAGG
rnacentral:rRNA from 1 species